AACGAACGCUGGCGGCGUGCCUAACACAUGCAAGUCGAACGAGAAAGGGGCUUCGGCUCCGAGUAAAGUGGCGCACGGGUGAGUAACACGUGGGUAACCUGCCUCUAAGAUUGGGAUAACUCGUCGAAAGAUGAGCUAAUACCGAAUAAGACCACAGUUCCCGCGGGAACAGGGGUCAAAGGUGGCCUCUGCUUGCAAGCUAUCACUUAGAGAUGGGCCUGCGCACCAUUAGCUAGUUGGUAGGGUAACGGCCUACCAAGGCAAAGAUGGUUAGCUGGUCUGAGAGGAUGAUCAGCCACACUGGAACUGAGACACGGUCCAGACUCCUACGGGAGGCAGCAGUGGGGAAGAUUGCGCAAUGGGCGAAAGCUUGACGCAGCAACGCCGCGUGAGUGAUGAAGGCCUUCGGGUCGUAAAGCUCUGUCGGGAGGAACGAAUGCUCCUGAGGUUAACAGCCUCGGGAGGUGACGGUACCUUCAAAGGAAGCACCGGCUAACUCUGUG
rnacentral:rRNA from 1 species